GGAGGGCUGUGCCACGACCCCUUCACUGCCCAGGCACCCCACAGCCUCCCUGCUCACCCCUUUGCCAGCAUGAGCUACAUGUCCCACCCGUGGGAUGGCAGCACCCGACUGUGCCCCCUAAGACGUGCCAGCCAAGAGCCACCCCAUGCUGUGCCAGCCCCAGUGACCCCAGCUCAGUCCUGCCCUACACGCAGCCUGGCAGCUCUGUGCUCGAACACCCUGCAAGAUGCCAGACCCUGUGCCAGCCUUUCCCUGUGGGAGCAAAGUGCCACUUCCCUGGCAGCCCAGCCAGCAGACAGAGGGGACAGCCAGCUGCACGGAGCACGCUGCUAGAA